rnacentral:rRNA from 1 species
UGCGGAAUCUUGCGCAAUGGGGGCAACCCUGACGCAGCCACGCCGCGUGCUGGAAGACGGCCCUAUGGGUUGUAAACAGCUUUUGGGCGGGAAGAACCCGGGAUGUUCGCAUCCCGCUGACGGUACCGCCCGAAUAAGCACCGGCUAACUCCGUGGCAGCAGCCGCGGUAAUACGGAGGGUGCAAGCGUUGUCCGGAAUUAUUCGGUGUAAAGGGUGCGCAGGCGUCCCGGCAUGUUUUCGGUGAAAUCCUCCCGCUUAACGGGAGAAGGGCCGGAAAAACGGCCGGGAUUGAGUCCGGAAGAGGCCAGUGGAAUUGGUGGUGUAGCGGUGAAAUGCAUAGAGAUCACCAAGAACGCCAGUGGCGAAGGCGGCUGGCUGGUCCGGCACUGACGCUGAGGCACGAGAGCGUGGGGAGCGAACAGGAUUAGAUACCCCCGUAGUCC